AGGAGGAGUGGGAGGACUUGUUGUUGUACGAGAUCUUGAUCAUUACUCUUACUGUGAAUCCUGCUUGGUUCCUUUUCAUGUCAAGUGUCACAUUGGUUAUGUCCCAUCGGGCCAACGUGUUUUAGGACUGAGUAAGUUCUCUAGAGUCACUGAUGUUUUCGCCAAGCGGCUCCAAGACCCUCAGCGUUUGGCUGAUGAUAUUUGUUCUGCCCUCCAACAUUGGGUCAAACCAGCUGGAGUCGCUGUUGUUCUCGAAUGCUCUCACAUUCACUUCCCCAGUCUGGACUUGGAUUCUCUGGACUUGUCCAC
rnacentral:lncRNA from 1 species